GCCAGCAUAGCUCAUCUGUUGAACACAUUGUGCUGUGUCCUGGUUGGGAAAUGUGUCAUUUCAAGCCCAGUCUAAAAAGGACUCUUUAUUGGUGAGGUCACCACAUCAUGGUCCAAUUUGAAUACGGAUUUAAAGUUAUUUUCAACGUUGGAUUGUACAUUUGCUGUCAGCAAACUUCAACUAUGGACAGUGUUUGGACAUUGAUGUACUACAGAUAAGACUUUUGCACACACUAACUUUCACAUGACGAAAUCCUACAAUCUUACAUUUUAUUUUAUUUUAUUUAUUUAUUUAUUUUUUUUACUUUUGUGUAUUUACAUUGUAUUUGCAUAUAUGUAGCUGUAU